rnacentral:miRNA from 1 species
UUCGUAAUACGUGCGGAAAUUGUUACCAUUCGGCUCAAAAAUGGUAACAAUUUCCGUACGUAAUACAAA